AGAACCCCGCCCCGGAAGGCAGGCCAGCCACCGGGUAGCGAGUCCUUGGAGGCUAAAUGGCAACAUAGAGCUUUAAGCGUAGGAUAGCGAGCAGAUAGGCCGUAAUCCGUAAGGGUGAAGGGAUUGAGCCUCGUAAUUGUCGCGUUGGGAAGGACGACACUGGGGAGCAGUCCGGGACAUCCUUCAGAUUAUAAGUUUCUUGCAGGCAGGUCCGGUUUUCGGCACUGCCCGCCGGCGUCUCUGAAAA
rfam:Desulfobacterales bacterium CG2_30_60_27 cg2_3.0_scaffold_4756_c, whole genome shotgun sequence.